CGAAGGAUCAUUAAAGUUAUAGUCCCCCGGCCCUCUGGGUUGGGGUCUUCUAUACCACCCUUUGUCUAUUACACCUUUGUUGCUUUGGCAGGCCUGCCCCCGGGCUGCUGGCUCCGGCCGGCGAGCGUCUGCCAGAGGACCUAAACUCUGUUUGUCUAUACUGUCUGAGUACUAUGUAAUAGUUAAAACUUUCAACAACGGAUCUCUUGGUUCUGGCAUCGAUGAAGAACGCAGCGAAAUGCGAUAAGUAAUGUGAAUUGCAGAAUUCAGUGAAUCAUCGAAUCUUUGAACGCACAUUGCGCCCCCUGGUAUUCCGGGGGGCAUGCCUGUCCGAGCGUCAUUACAACCCUCAAGCUCUGCUUGGUGUUGGGCCCCGCCGCCCCGGCGGGCCCUAAAGUCAGUGGCGGUGCCAUCCGGCUCCCGAGCGUAGUAAUUCUUCUCGCUCUGGAGGUCCGGGUGUGUGCUCGCCAGCAACCCCCCAAUUUUUUUCAGGUUGACCUCGGAUCAGGUAGGGAUACCCGCUGAACUUAAGCAUAUCAAUAAGCGGAGGAAAAGAAACCAACAGGGAUUACCUCAGUAACGGCGAGUGAAGCGGUAACAGCUUAAAUUUGAAAUCUGGCCUCACGGUCCGAGUUGUAAUUUCGUAGAGGAUGCUUCGAGCAUGGUCUGGCCUAAGUUCCUUGGAACAGGACGUCAUAGAAGGUGAGAAUCCCGUAUGCGGCCAGGUGCCUACGCUCAUGUGAAGCUCCCUCGACCAGUCGAGUUGUUUGGGAAUG
rnacentral:rRNA from 1 species